rnacentral:rRNA from 1 species
GGUUAAGCGACUAAGCGUACACGGUGGAUGCCCUGGCAGUCAGAGGCGAUGAAGGACGUGCUAAUCUGCGAUAAGCGUCGGUAAGGUGAUAUGAACCGUUAUAACCGGCGAUUUCCGAAUGGGGAAACCCAGUGUGAUUCGUCACACUAUCAUUAACUGAAUCCAUAGGUUAAUGAGGGCGAACCGGGGGAACUGAAACAUCUAAGUACCCCGAGGAAAAGAAAUCAACCGAGAUUCCCCCCAGUAGCGGCGAGCGAACGGGGAGGAGCCCAGAGCCUGAAUCAGUGUGUGUGUUAGUGGAAGCGUCUGGAAAGGCGCGCGAUACAGGGUGACAGCCCCGUACACAAAAAUGCACAUGCUGUGAGCUCGAUGAGUAGGGCGGGACACGUGGUAUCCUGUCUGAAUAUGGGGGACCAUCCUCCAAGGCUAAAUACUCCUGACUGACCGAUAGUGAACCAGUACCGUGAGGGAAAGGCGAAAAGAACCCCGGCGAGGGGAGUGAAAAAGAACCUGAAACCGUGUACGUACAAGCAGUGGGAGCACAGAGCAAUCUGUGUGACUGCGUACCUUUGUAUAAUGGGUCAGCGACUUAUAUUCUGUAGCAAGGUUAACCGAAUAGGGGAGCCGAAGGGAAACCGAGUCUUAACUGGGCGUUAAGUUGCAGGGUAUAGACCCGAAACCCGGUGAUCUAGCCAUGGGCAGGUUGAAGGUUGGGUAACACUAACUGGAGGACCGAACCGACUAAUGUUGAAAAAUUAGCGGAUGACUUGUGGCUGGGGGUGAAAGGCCAAUCAAACCGGGAGAUAGCUGGUUCUCCCCGAAAGCUAUUUAGGUAGCGCCUCGUGAAUUCAUCUCCGGGGGUAGAGCACUGUUUCGGCAAGGGGGUCAUCCCGACUUACCAACCCGAUGCAAACUGCGAAUACCGGAGAAUGUUAUCACGGGAGACACACGGCGGGUGCUAACGUCCGUCGUGAAGAGGGAAACAACCCAGACCGCCAGCUAAGGUCCCAAAGUCAUGGUUAAGUGGGAAACGAUGUGGGAAGGCCCAGACAGCCAGGAUGUUGGCUUAGAAGCAGCCAUCAUUUAAAGAAAGCGUAAUAGCUCACUGGUCGAGUCGGCCUGCGCGGAAGAUGUAACGGGGCUAAACCAUGCACCGAAGCUGCGGCAGCGACACUGUGUGUUGUUGGGUAGGGGAGCGUUCUGUAAGCCUGUGAAGGUGUGCUGUGAGGCAUGCUGGAGGUAUCAGAAGUGCGAAUGCUGACAUAAGUAACGAUAAAGCGGGUGAAAAGCCCGCUCGCCGGAAGACCAAGGGUUCCUGUCCAACGUUAAUCGGGGGCAGGGUGAGUCGACCCCUAAGGCGAGGCCGAAAGGCGUAGUCGAUGGGAAACAGGUUAAUAUUCCUGUACUUGGUGUUACUGCGAAGGGGGGACGGAGAAGGCUAUGUUGGCCGGGCGACGGUUGUCCCGGUUUAAGCGUGUAGGCUGGUUUUCCAGGCAAAUCCGGAAAAUCAAGGCUGAGGCGUGAUGACGAGGCACUACGGUGCUGAAGCAACAAAUGCCCUGCUUCCAGGAAAAGCCUCUAAGCAUCAGGUAACAUCAAAUCGUACCCCAAACCGACACAGGUGGUCAGGUAGAGAAUACCAAGGCGCUUGAGAGAACUCGGGUGAAGGAACUAGGCAAAAUGGUGCCGUAACUUCGGGAGAAGGCACGCUGAUAUGUAGGUGAAGUCCCUCGCGGAUGGAGCUGAAAUCAGUCGAAGAUACCAGCUGGCUGCAACUGUUUAUUAAAAACACAGCACUGUGCAAACACGAAAGUGGACGUAUACGGUGUGACGCCUGCCCGGUGCCGGAAGGUUAAUUGAUGGGGUCAGCGCAAGCGAAGCUCUUGAUCGAAGCCCCGGUAAACGGCGGCCGUAACUAUAACGGUCCUAAGGUAGCGAAAUUCCUUGUCGGGUAAGUUCCGACCUGCACGAAUGGCGUAAUGAUGGCCAGGCUGUCUCCACCCGAGACUCAGUGAAAUUGAACUCGCUGUGAAGAUGCAGUGUACCCGCGGCAAGACGGAAAGACCCCGUGAACCUUUACUAUAGCUUGACACUGAACAUUGAGCCUUGAUGUGUAGGAUAGGUGGGAGGCUUUGAAGUGUGGACGCCAGUCUGCAUGGAGCCGACCUUGAAAUACCACCCUUUAAUGUUUGAUGUUCUAACGUGGACCCGUGAUCCGGGUUGCGGACAGUGUCUGGUGGGUAGUUUGACUGGGGCGGUCUCCUCCUAAAGAGUAACGGAGGAGCACGAAGGUUGGCUAAUCCUGGGUCGGACAUCAGGAGGUUAGUGCAAUGGCAUAAGCCAGCUUGACUGCGAGCGUGACGGCGCGAGCAGGUGCGAAAGCAGGUCAUAGUGAUCCGGUGGUUCUGAAUGGAAGGGCCAUCGCUCAACGGAUAAAAGGUACUCCGGGGAUAACAGGCUGAUACCGCCCAAGAGUUCAUAUCGACGGCGGUGUUUGGCACCUCGAUGUCGGCUCAUCACAUCCUGGGGCUGAAGUAGGUCCCAAGGGUAUGGCUGUUCGCCAUUUAAAGUGGUACGCGAGCUGGGUUUAGAACGUCGUGAGACAGUUCGGUCCCUAUCUGCCGUGGGCGCUGGAGAACUGAGGGGGCUGCUCCUAGUACGAGAGGACCGGAGUGGACGCAUCACUGGUGUUCGGGUUGUCAUGCCAAUGGCACUGCCCGGUAGCUAAAUGCGGAAGAGAUAAGUGCUGAAAGCAUCUAAGCACGAAACUUGCCCCGAGAUGAGUUCUCCCUGACCCUUUAAGGGUCCUGAAGGAACGUUGAAGACGACGACGUUGAUAGGCCGGGUGUGUAAGCGCAGCGAUGCGUUGAGCUAACCGGUACUAAUGAACCGUGAGGCUUAACCUU